GAAAUGCAAAUCAAAACCACCCUAAGAUACCAUCUCACUCCAGUAAGAUUGGCAGCCAUUAUGAAGUCAAACAACAACAAGUGCUGGAGAGGAUGUGGGGAAAAGGGUACUCUUGUACAUUGCUGGUGGGACUGCAAACUGGUGCGGCCAAUUUGGAAAGCAGUAUGGAGAUUCCUGGGAAAGCUGGGAAUGGAACCACCAUUUGACCCAGCUAUUGCCCUUCUCGGACUAUUCCCUGAAGACCUUAAAAGAGCGUACUACAGGGAUACUGCCACAUCGAUGUUCAUAGCAGCACAAUUCACAAUUGCUAGACUGUGGAACCAACCCAGAUGCCCUUCAAUAGAUGAAUGGAUUAAAAAAAUGUGGCAUUUAUACACCAUGGAGUAUUACGCAGCACUAAAAAAUGACAAAAUCAUGGAAUUUGCAGGGAAAUGGAUGGCACUAGAGCAGAUUAUGCUUAGUGAAGCUAGCCAAUCCCUAAAAAACAAAUAUCAAAUGUCUUCUUUGAUAUAAUGAGAGCAACUAAGAACAGAGCAGGGAGGAAGAGCAGGAAGAAAAGAUUAACAUUAAACAGAGACAUGAGGUGGGAGAGAAAGGGAGAGAAAAGGGAAAUUACAUGGUAAUGGAGGGAGACCCUCAUUGUUAUACAAAAUUACAUAUAAGAGGUUGUGAGGGGAAUGGGAAAAUAAUCAAGGAGAGAAAUGAAUUACAGUAGAUGGGGUAGAGAGAGAAGAUGGGAGGGGAGUGGAGGGGGGAUAGUAGAGGAUAGGAAAGGUAGCAGAAUACAACAGUUACUAAUAUGGCAUUAUGUAAAAAUGUGGAUGUGUAACUGAUGUGAUUCUGCAAUCUGUAUUUGGGGUAAAAUUGGGAGUUCAUAACCAACUUGAAUCUAAUGUAUGAAAUAUGAUAUGUCAAGAGCUUUGUAAUGUUUUGAACAACCAAUAAAAAAAAAGGUUUGGUGUAAUCCUGGAAGCUGGAAAGUCUAAACAGCAUGGCACCAGUGUUUGCUGAGGGCUCUGGCUAUAUUACAACAUUAUGAAUGUUAGGAGUUAAUGGGAGAGCAGUGAGCUUCAUGAAGAGGAAAUCACUUGGCAAAAAAAAUGGAAGCAAGAGAAUAUGGAGGGGGUUGAGUCUCAUUCUUUGAUGAAAACUACUUUCAGAAACUAACCUACUCUAAGACACCAGCAUUAAUCCUUUCAGUACGGUAAGGCCCUAAUUAUCUCUUUUAAAGGUCCCAGCACUACUGUUAAAUUGGAGACCAAGCCUCCAAUACAUGAACCUUUGGGAGACAAACCAUAUCUUAAUCAUAGUAUUCCACCCUUGUCCCCAAAGUUUACGUCCUCAUAAUGCAAAAUGCAUAUACUAUACAGUAAAAGAAAACUCAUUCCAGCACCAGCUUUAAAGUCCAAGAUCUCAUCUGAGACUCAAGGAAAAUGUCUUCCAGCUGUGAGACUGUAAAAUCAAAAUCUUGCUUUCAGGUUACAUACUCGCAAGAUUCAAUGGUGGAUCAAGCAUUAAACAUUUCUAUUCCAAGAGAGUAAUAAUCAACUACAGUCAGUUCAUAUGUCCCACACAAGUCUGAAACCAAACAGGGCAGAGAUUAGAUCUUAAAACUAGAGAAUAAUUUCUUUUGACUCUCAAGUCUAUUAUCCUGUGUACAUUGGGGCCGGGGUAAACUCCUAGGGUCUUCGGCAGCCCUGCACAUGUGGCUUUGCUGAUCUCAAGCCCAUGUGGCUGCUUUUAUGGUUUGGAGUUGGGUGCCUUUGUUUUUACCAUGCUGCGGUUCUAUGUUGUCAGUGGCUUUCCCUUGUGGUCCUGAGGGUAAUGGUUCUGCUCUCUCAGUUUCACUAGAAUUAUGCUAAGGAUUUCUCCCUGGGUGCCCAUGCUUUUCUUUGAAAUCUUGGUGGGAGCCCCUGUAACCCUACAGCUAUUAUAUUUUGUUUGCCUGCAGAAUUAGCAUAAAAGUUUAUUUAGCUUGCAGCCUGUUAUGUCUAGAGUGUCAGUAUGAGCCAUACCUGAGACUUUUGAGCUACUGCUGGGGCAGACAAGUGCUGCAGCAGAGUUCCAGGAGCAGAAUUUCCAAGUGACCCUGGGCAGGGGGUACAUGGAAAGCAUCCCAGGGCAUUCCUGCAAACCAUUCUGCCUUCCUUGUUCUCUGGUCUGGGAGGGGUUACCUCAUAUAUUUCUAAUAAUGCCUCUAAGGCUUUUUUCCCACUGUCCUAAUGCACAGUACCUGGCACCCCUUUAUCCAUGCUAAUCUCUUUAGCAAGCAGUUGCAUUGCUGCACCCUUACAUGUCAAUUUUUGCUCAUUCCCAGGCUGCAAAAUUUUCACUGUACUUUCCUUUGUCCUCAGAUCUCACAUUAAAUCUCAUUGGAUAUGAGCAGUAGUACAUACAGGACACCAAAUGUAUUUUGUCAGAUACCCUGUGUUAUCUCUUUUUGUUUUCAAAAUAUAAAGAUUUUAUUAGUUGCUCAUGACAAUAUAAUGAUCUUGACAUAUCAUACAUUUGAAUCAAAUGGGGUAUGAAUUCUCAUUUUUCCAAGUGUACAGGUUGCAGGAUCUCAUUGGUUAUACGGCCACAUACAUACAUACAGCAGUACUAGUGUUUAUUUUAUUCUUCUGCCCUUCCUAUCACCCCUUCCCCUCCCCUCCCCUCCCAUCACCUCUCUCUACCCAAUCUAAUGUGACACAUUUCUCUCUUUUUUUUCUUCCCCCUCACAUCAUCAUACCUGUGUUAUCUCUUAAGUUUAGCCAUCAGCAAAGCUCUAGCGCAUUGAUAUAAUACAUCCACAUUCUUUGAAGUUUACAAGGAUGGCUUUUACUCCAACUUACAGUAGAAUAUUUUUCAUUUCCAUUUCAGACCUUCUCAGAAUCAUCUUUACUGUUGACAUUUCUAUCAGCAUUCUGGCCAUGACCACUUAAGCAAUCUCCAGGAAGUUCUAGCUUUUCCUAAGGCUACUUGUCUUCUGAACCUUCACCAGAAUAACUUAUAACAUUCCAUGCGCAGAAUUCUAAGCUAUUUUCACAUUUUCAGUUAUUGUUAAAGCAACAACCCCACUCCUCAGUAUCAAUUCUCUCUUUGUUAAUUUUGAGUUGCUAUCACAAUACCUGAGUCGAUGUACUUUAUAAGAAAAGAAGCUUAUUUACCCCCUGAUUCUGAUGGCUAAAAAGUCCAAAUAGCAUGGCCCUGGCACCUGUCAAGGGUUCCCAGGCUACAUCACAAUAUGGCAGAUGACAUCACAUGGCAGGACUGACUCCAAGAACAGUGAGCUACAUGCAGAAGAAAUCACAUGGUGAGAGAGGAAGCAAGAGAAUGAGGAAGGGUUAGGCUCACUUUUUAAUAACAGCCCAUUCUCUGGAGAAGUAACCUACUCCAAAACCAGCAUUAAUCCUUUCAGGAAGGUAAUGUCCCCAUCACCUAAUUAUCUUCUUUAGCGGGCCCCCACCUCAGUGCUAUUACAUUAAUAGUUAAGCCUCCAGAACAUGAGUCAUUGAGGGAAAAACCACAUUCAAACCAUUGCAAUAUUACUUUUAAAUCAGAUAACCUUAUAUAGUCUUAUAUGACUCCCUGAAAAAAGCAAACAAACGAAAUCACUCAACUCUGUCCACAUUGCAGGGAACAGGCAGUCCAAUUUGUUUGCACCCUCAGAGAUUAUAUGGUUUAUGUAAUUCCUACCCUGUUCAUGUUGUGAUUGAUACAGGGUGAUGUAGUAGAUACCUGCUGUCUAAUGCUUGAUCUAGUUAAAAGGUUUUUUUAAAUUAUCAAUACCGUUUUUAAAUGCCAACCCACCAAUCCUAUAUAGAUGGCAGUUAGUGUUAUACAUGUCCAAGUAGACACCAGACAUUCAUCUUAAGGCUAUACAUCUGUUGCUAACAUUAGUACUAUUCAUAGCUCCUCCUUUCGUCUGAGGGUCUCCAAAGUGUUUGGGACACUUCAGUGAAAUUUGACAGAGCGAAGAUCCUACUGCAGAGCCAAGUAAUAGCAAAUAUCACCUGACACACUAUGUAGGCCCACCUGAACCUCAACAUUACUUUACAACAUAGAACUGGGGAGGCAAAAACCCAAACCAGCAACCAGGCCCCAAGAAACAACAAUCAGAGGGGGUCCUCAGAUUACACGCCUGGCCAUUUACUGAUAUAUCAAAAACAGGUACUAGAACCAAAAAGAUAACCACACACAAAAGGAUGUGAAUGUAAAAAGAGGAAGGGAAAUUCAUCUCAAUUGUGCAAGUUCAAGACCUCUGAAAACAUGAAGAAAUAGGCAAACAAAUCUCCCCCCAAAUUCACAAUUCCCCAACAAAGGAUUCCCACAAAUAUAGAAGUGGGUAAAAUUCCAGAGAAAGAUUGUAAAAAAUGAUUAUUAAAAUGUUCAAUGGACUAAGAAGAUCUAAGGAAUGGAUUAAGAGAACAAAUAGAGGAGAUGACUCAUCUCAGUAAAGAAACAUUAAAAAAGAAACCAAUCAGAACUCUUAGAAAUGAAUGAUACUAUGAAUCAAAUAAAAAAUUCACUUGAAAGCAUCACCGUCAGAUUAGAUUGCAUAGAAAGUAGAAUUUUAGCCUUGAAGACAGAAUUUCAAACCUUGAAGACAGUGUGUAUGAACUUGAAUACUCAGUCUGUACUAAAGGGAAAAAAAGAGACCAUGGGCAGACUAUACAAGAACUCUAGGACAACAGCAAGAUAUCAAACUUGAGAGUCAAUGGAAUAGAAGAGAACAUGGAGAUACAGGCUAAAAAUAUUAACAUUUUCAAUGGGAUAGUCAGAAAUCUUUCCCAAUAUUAUAAAUUGUAUAGACAUCAACAUACAUAACCCCAAAUAGGAUCAGAAGAAAACUCCAAGACAUAAUCAAAAUGCCUAACAUAUAAAGAAAAAAUAUUAAAAACUAGAAGAAAAACAUCAGGUCACAUUUAGAAACACACCAAUAAGGCUUAUCACUGACUUCUCAAUUCAGACCCUAAAAUUAAGGAGAGAAUGAAAUAUUCCAAGCUGUAAAAGAAAACAAUUGCCUCAGAAGGUGCACACAGGAGAGAAACACUUCCAGUGUAAUGAAUGUGGAAAAACUUCCUGGGAAAAAUCAAACCUCACUAAACAUCAGAGAUCCUACACAGGAGAGAAACUAUGAAUGCAAUGACUGUGGGAAAGCCUUUAGUCACAAAUCAAUCCUUUAUGCUAUACCGGAGGACACAUAGAGAGGGAAAACUCUAUCAUUAUACUGCAUGUUGGAAAACUUGUGCCAGAAGUCAGACCUCACUAAACUUCAGAGAACACACACAGGGCUGAAACCCUAUGAAUGUGGCAAGUCCUUCUCUAUGCAUUCACACCUUAUAGUAUAUCAGAGAACUUACAUAGGUGAGAAACCUUUGAGUGCCUGGAAUGUGGGAAAUCAUGUUGUCAAAGUCACAUCUUACUUGGCAUGGGAGAACCCAUAUAGGGGAUAAACCCUAUGCAUGUAAUGCUUGUGGAGAAACUGUGAGAAUCAUAAAGUAUUAGAUAGUUCAAACAGGGUUAGAACUUUUUGAAUGUGAGAAAAACUUAUGCUUAAAGCCAGACCUCACAGUAUGUCAGAGAACUCACAUUGGAGAGAAACCCUUUGCAUGUCCUGUGUGUGGCAAAUUCUUCAGCCAUAAAUCAACCCUCUCUCAACAUUAUAGAACACAUACAGAAGAGAGACUAUUUGAAUGUCAUGAAUAUGGGAAAUUUUUUUUUACAACAAAUCAUACCUAACUAAACACAACAGAACGAAUUGAGGAGAGAAACCUGAGGAAUGCAACAAAUGUGAGAAAAACUGCCAGAAAUUACAGCUAACUUAGCAUCAGAGAAUUUACUUAGGGGAGAAAUUAUAUAAAUGUACUGAAGGUGGAAAACGUUUCUGCUAUAAGUUUGCUAUAAUUUUAUAUCAGAGAACCCAUAUAGAAGAAAAGUCCUAUAAAUGUAAUGUAAAAUAAAUGUAAUGUGAAAAACUCUUCUGCUGGAAUUCAGGAUUUAUUUUGUAUCAGAGAAACACACAGGAGAGAAACCCUAUGAUGAAUAUGGGAAAUCAUUUUAUGCAAAUGAUCUCUCAGAAUGUAUCACAGGGCUCAUAUGGGAGAAAUCUUGUCAGUGUAUUGCAUGUGGGAAAGUCUUCC
rnacentral:lncRNA from 1 species